rnacentral:rRNA from 1 species
AAGCUCGUAGUUGAAUUUCGGGGUUAGUAGGUUGGUCAUGCCUCUGGUAUGUACUGGUCUCACUGAUUCCUCCUUCCUUAUGAACCGUAAUGCCAUUAAUUUGGUGUUGCGGGGAAUUUGGACUGUUACUUUGAAAAAACUUAGAGUGUUUAAAGCAAGCUAACGCUUGAAUACAUUAGCAUGGAAUAAUGAAAUAGGACGUUCGAUCUUAUUUUAGUUUGGUUUUCUUAGGAUUGACGUAAUGAUUAAUAGGGAUAGUUGGGU